CCCCUGUGGCUCCUCUGCCGCCCCUCCGGCUUCACCUUCGGCGACUACACCAUGUACUGGGUGCGCCAGAGCCCCGGGAAGGGGCUGCAAUGGCUCGCUGGGAUCUGGAAGGAUGGUUCCAGCACCUACUACGCGCCGUCGGUGAAGGGCCGGUUCAGCAUGGCCAGGGACAACGGGCAGAGCUCGGUGACGCUGCAGAUGAACAACCUCAGGGACGAGGAUUCCGCCACCUAUUUCUGUGCCAAAGCUGCUGGUGGUGGUUGGG